ACGCUGGCGGCGUGCUUAACACAUGCAAGUCGAACGGAAAGGCCCUGCUUUUGUGGGGUGCUCGAGUGGCGACCGGGUGAGUAACACGUGAGUAACCUGCCCUUGACUUUGGGAUAACUUCAGGAAACUGGGGCUAAUACCGGAUAGGAGCUCCUGCUGCAUGGUGGGGGUUGGAAAGUUUCGGCGGUUGGGGAUGGACUCGCGGCUUAUCAGCUUGUUGGUGGGGUAGUGGCUUACCAAGGCUUUGACGGGUAGCCGGCCUGAGAGGGUGACCGGCCACAUUGGGACUGAGAUACGGCCCAGACUCCUACGGGAGGCAGCAGUGGGGAAUAUUGCACAAUGGGCGGAAGCCUGAUGCAGCAACGCCGCGUGCGGGAUGACGGCCUUCGGGUUGUAAACCGCUUUCGCCUGUGACGAAGCGUGAGUGACGGUAAUGGGUAAAGAAGCACCGGCUAACUAUGUG
rnacentral:rRNA from 1 species